ACAAAGACAACCUUUUUAACGAUUUUUAGGUUUAUAUUGAAAGGCAGUUUGAUUUGUUUAUGUUGUUUUUGCACCCUCUUGUCCAACUAUAAAGAUUCACAAACCAAACUUGUUUGUUCUGUUUUUUGAGAUGAGAAAUCUUUAUUACUGCUGAGUAACUCCAAUUUCAAAUGGUUAAGAAAAUACUUUUUCUAUACCUCUUGAGUUUUGAAUAUAUAGUGACUGGCUCGACCACUUUUGAGUUUCCUUUCUCUAAUCGAAUUCAUUCCUCUAAAGGUACUAUCCUUUCUACUGUGGAUCCAUCAAUUUACUGUUUUUAGGCUUGUUAGUGUUAAUGACUACUUUCAUAUGAUUUUAGUUUUUGUCAAGAAUUGUUUAGUUUUCACCAAUGACAAUAUUGUAGUCUGAUAGUUAAAGCCUGAAAGUGUGAAGUUAAAUUUGUGAUUUUAGUGGAGAAAAAAAACGAAGAUCGAAACUUUCUUGAAGAUCUUAUUAACAAAUUUGACAAAACUUUUACAAAGACAACCUUUUUAACGAUUUUUUAGGUUUAUAUUGAAAGGCAGUUUGAUUUGUUUAUGUUGUUUUUGCACCUUCUUGUCCAACUAUAAAGAUUCACAAACCAAACUUGUUUGUCCUGUUUUUUGAGAUGAGAAAUCUUUAUUACUGCUGAGUAACUCCAAUUUCAAAUGGUUAAGAAAAUACUUUUUCUAUACCUCUUGAGUUUUGAAUAUAUAGUGACUGGCUCGACCACUUUUGAGUUUCCUUUCUCUAAUCGAAUUCAUUCCUCUAAAGGUACUAUCCUUUCU
rnacentral:lncRNA from 1 species